GCAACGCCGUGAGGGAGAGGUACAGCUCCAACACGCAACAUUAGCUGAAGAGAUGGCGACAGCUGCUCCUGACUGGAAGAGGUGGCGAGACAGGAGGAAAAAAAAAAAAAAUGGAUUUUCCCCGAAAUGUUUGGUGCCAAUCGUUCACUGUAAGUGAGGGUGAUUAACGCUAAUGAUUUACCCGCAGGAAAAGCGGAAUCGCUGAGUGCUGCCUGGAACAGAGCCAGGGAAAUGUUCCCAACACGGACACCACCAUCUAGCGGCACAAGGAAACCUCCAGGGAUUCCCGGAGAGGGGCUUUUAUUGCAGAGAUCUGCCUCAAAAAAUCCGCGUUCCUCCAGGGAUAUGUAGCUGGCCAGGAUAAUAAUAAAAUAAAAUAAAAUAAAAAAUAAAAUAAAAUAAAAUAAAAUAAAAUA